rnacentral:miRNA from 1 species
AUCACCUGGGAGCUUGCUAGAUACAGAUUCCGGUUCCAUAGGUCUGCGAUGGGACCUGAGAUUCUGCAUUUCUAACAAGCUCCCAGCAUGAUGC